rnacentral:lncRNA from 1 species
UAUACUGCACAAUAAUGUAUAAUCACACAUUAUGUUAGGUGUACCCAAUUACUUAAGCAUGUAACUAGAUAUACUUGAAUUCAAUAAGAAAAUAGACUUGAAAACAAAAACAAUUUCACGUAACCUCAUUAUUACUAACAUUUUUUAUUUCUACACAGAGAAAGAUGAAUAAUCAAUAAAAGAUUCUUGGAAUUAGUCAAAGCAGGAUGUAAUAUUUUAAUGAUGCAAACACUAUUUAUAUUCAUAUUUUGGAUACGUACUACUGUCAAGAAAAUAUUAUUGUUAUCUAAGUCUAUUGUUG